GAUGAACGCUGGCGGCGUGCCUAAUACAUGCAAGUCGAGCGAACAGAUAAGGAGCUUGCUCCUUUGACGUUAGCGGCGGACGGGUGAGUAACACGUGGGUAACCUACCUAUAAGACUGGGAUAACUUCGGGAAACCGGAGCUAAUACCGGAUAACAUUUGGAACCGCAUGGUUCUAAAGUGAAAGAUGGUUUUGCUAUCACUUAUAGAUGGACCCGCGCCGUAUUAGCUAGUUGGUAAGGUAACGGCUUACCAAGGCAACGAUACGUAGCCGACCUGAGAGGGUGAUCGGCCACACUGGAACUGAGACACGGUCCAGACUCCUACGGGAGGCAGCAGUAGGGAAUCUUCCGCAAAGGGCGAAAGCCUGACGGAGCAACGCCGCGUGAGUGAUGAAGGGUUUCGGAUCGUAAAACUCUGUUAUUAGGGAAGAACAAAUGUGUAAGUAACUGUGCACGUCUUGACGGUACCUAAUCAGAAAGCCACGGCUAACUACGUG
rnacentral:rRNA from 1 species